ACGGGAGGCAGCAGUGGGGAAUAUUGGGCAAUGGGCGCAAGCCUGACCCAGCAAUGCCGCGUGAAGGAAGAAGGCUUUCGGGUUGUAAACUUCUUUUAAGUGGGACGACAAUGACGGUACCACUUGAAUAAGCUCCGGCUAACUACGUGCCAGCAGCCGCGGUAAUACGUAGGGAGCAAGCGUUAUCCGGAUUUAUUGGGUUUAAAGGGAGCGUAGGCCGUGCUUUAAGCGUGUUGUGAAAUGUAGGCGCCCAACGUCUGCACUGCAGCGCGAACUGGAGCACUUGAGUACGCAGGAAGUAGGCGGAAUUCGUCGUGUAGCGGUGAAAUGCUUAGAUAUGACGAAGAACUCCGAUUGGGAAGCCAGCUUACUGUAGCGCCACUGACGCUGAUGCUCGAAAGCGUGGGUAUCGAACAGGAUUAGAUACCCUGGUA
rnacentral:rRNA from 1 species